rnacentral:rRNA from 1 species
CCAGACUCCUACGGGAGGCAGCAGUGGGGAAUAUUGGGCAAUGGGCGCAAGCCUGACCCAGCAACGCCGCGUGAAGGAAGAAGGCUUUCGGGUUGUAAACUUCUUUUCUCAGGGACGAAGCAAGUGACGGUACCUGAGGAAUAAGCCACGGCUAACUACGUGCCAGCAGCCGCGGUAAUACGUAGGUGGCAAGCGUUAUCCGGAUUUAUUGGGUGUAAAGGGCGUGUAGGCGGGAAAGCAAGUCAGAUGUGAAAACUAUGGGCUCAACCCAUAGCCUGCAUUUGAAACUGUUUUUCUUGAGUGCUGGAGAGGCAAUCGGAAUUCCGUGUGUAGCGGUGAAAUGCGUAGAUAUCAGGAGGAACACCGGUGGCAAAGGCGGCCUGCUGGACUGCAACUGCCGUUGAGGCCCGAAAGCGUGGGGAGCAAACAGGAUUAGAUACCCCUGUAC